rnacentral:rRNA from 1 species
GAUCGGGGAUGGGCUCGCGGCCUAUCAGCUUGUUGGUGGGGUAAUGGCCUACCAAGGCGACGACGGGUAGCCGGCCUGAGAGGGCGACCGGCCACACUGGGACUGAGACACGGCCCAGACUCCUACGGGAGGCAGCAGUGGGGAAUAUUGCACAAUGGGGGAAACCCUGAUGCAGCGACGCAGCGUGCGGGAUGACGGCCUUCGGGUUGUAAACCGCUUUCAGCAGGGAAGAAGCGAAAGUGACGGUACCUGCAGAAGAAGUACCGGCUAACUACGUGCCAGCAGCCGCGGUAAUACGUAGGGUACGAGCGUUGUCCGGAAUUAUUGGGCGUAAAGAGCUCGUAGGUGGUUGGUCACGUCUGCUGUGGAAACGCAACGCUUAACGUUGCGCGGGCAGUGGGUACGGGCUGACUAGAGUGCAGUAGGGGAGUCUGGAAUUCCUGGUGUAGCGGUGAAAUGCGCAGAUAUCAGGAGGAACACCGGUGGCGAAGGCGGGACUCUGGGCUGUAACUGACACUGAGGAGCGAAAGCAUGGGGAGCGAACAGGAUUAGAUACCCUGGUAGUCCAUGCCGUAAACGUUGGGCACUAGGUGUGGGGGACAUUCCACGUUCUCCGCGCCGUAGC